GGAUCUCAGAACUGCAAAGGCCAGAGGGUGACAUUUAACUGACAGGGUGAGGCAGAAAUAAUAUAAUGGGGAAUAAAGCUGGUUUAGCAAUCAGUGCACCUGACCUUGAGGGAUCUAAGGCAGUGGCUAUGAUUCGCUGUGUUCAUCAGCUUUUGUAUCGCUGUAACCAGAAUUCCCUACAAGAGCACCUUAGAGGAGGGAAAGAUUAUGUGGGCUCACAGUUCCAGAGGUCUCAGUCCAUAGACGGCUGACUCCACUGCUCUGGGCCCACAGUGAGGCAGCACGUCACAGGGAAGGGACCAGCAGAGGAGAACUGCUCAGCUCCUGAGGGGGUCAGAAAGCAGAGAGGGGUGGGGGAAGGGGACACAGGGAAGUUCCACCUUUCCAGGGCACGCCCCAGUGACCCACCUCCUCCAGCCGUGACCCACCUGCUACAGUGACCACCCAGUCAUUCAGAUUAAGAGGGACUGAAUAGGUUACAGCUCUUGCAAUCCGAUCACUUUACCUCUGAACAUUCCUGCAUUAGCACAGGAGAUUUCUGGUGGGAGGGACACCUUACAUCCAAACCAUAGCACAUGCCUAGGAAAAAGGUAGAUAGGAACUUGUGUAAGGUAUCACUCAACUUGCACAAUCAGGAAACAAUAAAUCAAAUUAAAAAAAAUAAUGACAGUCCGCCCUCAGAAAGCUAAUGCUGCUGGUAUUCCAGUGAUGGUGACACUCAGAUGCCCCACCGACCUCCCUAAAGGCUCUUACCACCACAGAGGUCCCAAACCAGCUUGAGUGGUCUGUGGUCCAUCCACAGUGUGGAUAGGUCCUUCCAGGGAAGACUGUGCAACUCCAUCGUGAGUAUACAGAGGAUGUCUUCGUCCAAAGGGAGUUCCGAGAGCUGCUGAAGGGACAGGUGUCACUGUCAAGGUCAAGGGGUUAACAGAUGCAGGUGCGAUCCCCAUCGCACCCGUCAACCCAUCAGCAGAAGUCAUUUGGAUUAUGGUGGGUGACAGUGGCUGUUUCAGCCUCGGCCAGCGCCAGCCCGAUUGCACUUGCUGGGCUAAACGUGGAGAGCUCCCUGGAGCAGAGCAAGCAUCAACUUCUACAGAGCAAGGACAGCCAUACACAUGCCACUGGCCCUGGGUUAACUCUCCUCUAUGAGAACAUAGUCCACGGGGACCUUGAUCGUCAUGACAUGCCCUGGGACACACAGCGGUUCACCCUAGCAAUAAAAUGGUGCUAUCUGGACCCACUGAGCAGGCGGUGCCAAGUCCUCUGGGUGUUCCAGUAUAACGCAGGUUGCUAGAAGAUUGGCCUAUGGAAAGUCGGGGUUCUGCCACAUUCUGUGUGUGGGUUCAGUUGUCUGGAACAGAGGGGCUGUUAGCGAACAGCGUGGCCCUGACCAUUCAGAAAGAGACAGUGUGCUUGGUGGCUCUGUGGGUUUUGGAGGCAGCAUAAGCUGCAAUUGAAAACACCGUCCUGAUCCAUUUCUUGGGGUCCUAAGGGUACUCAUGCGGCUGCAAGUCUGAGUGGGGUCAAGAGGAAGGGUGAGCUCUGCCAUAGAGGGAGGCUGGCGGAAGUCACCCUGCAGAUUCCCCAGCGUGGAGGCCCCAUAGCUCCCUGGGGAGGUCUCAGUGCAGACUUAGGAUCCUGUAGCCAGGCCAGCUGUUCUGUGGCAGAGGACUGAUUGCUGUUUAAAAAUCACUUCCUGGCAUGUUAUUGUGCCUCCAUAGAGACCGAACAGCCACAGAAUAGCAAGCGGCUCUCCGAGUGAAGUCACCCCUUGAGGGUUAGAUGCUCUGAUGCAGAGUCAGUCCUGAGGCUGAGCAGACAUGGCAAGGAUCGCUUACUGUGUGAUGGAAGGAGACCGUUUAGAACUGCAUGGAACAAAGUUGGAGGGCACAAGUAAGAACCAGGAGCUAGGAGGCUGGACCUUCUUGUCCCCACCUCUCCAUGAACAGACGCUUGUGACAGCAUGGACAUUCCAUCUGGUCACCCAACAGAGGAGAAAUUCAGACAUGGUUCACAGAUAGGUUGAGAUAUUUAAUGUUGUUGUGUAAUAAUCAAUCAUAUCUAGCAUCUCCAUGUAAUUAUUUAUACUCUUAGCAUAUGUAUUAAAAUGUGGUAAAAUUAUAAUAUUGUCUGUUUCUGCUCAUGGCACUGGACUGGGCUUCACUGCAGUUCCAUGCUGGAGGACUCCCAAAGGACCAGGGCUACUUCCAGGGACCCGCUUCCUGGGGUAACUCGCUG
rnacentral:lncRNA from 1 species